rnacentral:rRNA from 1 species
GGUGAAUGUUGAAAAAUUCUCGGAUGAGCUGUGUUUAGGGGUGAAAGGCCAAUCAAGCCGGGAAAUAGCUGGUUCUCCGCGAAAUCUAUUGAGGUAGAGCGUCGGAUGUAUGCCGAUGGGGGUAGAGCACUGGAUGGGCUAGGGCUGCGCGAGCGGUACCAAACCUAACCAAACUCCGAAUACCAUCGAGUCUUAUCCGGCAGACAGACGGCGGGUGCUAAGGUCCGUCGUCAAAAGGGAAACAGCCCUAACCUACAGCUAAGGUCCCCAAGUCAUAUCUAAGUGGGAAAGCAUGUGGGAAUCCCAAAACAACCAGGAGGUUGGCUUAGAAGCAGCCAUCCUUUAAAGAAAGCGUAACAGCUCACUGGUCUAAACAAGGGUUCCUGCGGCGAAGAUGUAACGGGGCUAAAGAUAUGCACCGAAGCUUAGGGUUCAGACAUUAGUCUGAGCGGUAGCGGAGCGUUCCGUAAGCGAGUGAAGGCGAA